AGUGAAAUAGCUGGGCUAUGUGGUAAUACUGAGUUUUACUUUUUGAGGAUCCUGCAAAAUCUUUCUCAAAGCAGUGGCACCAUUUUACGUUCCCACCAGCAGC
rnacentral:pre_miRNA from 1 species